UACGGAGGGUGCGAGCGUUGUUCGGAAUCACUGGGCGUAAAGCGCGUGUAGGCGGCCUGCUAAGUCUGAUGUGAAAGCCCGGGGCUCACCCUCGGAAGUGCAUUGGAAACUGGCAGACAGGAGUCCCGUAGAGGUGUGUGGAAUUCCUGGUGUAGCGGUGCAAUGCGUAGACACCAGGAGGAACAUCGAUGGCGGAGGCAGCCCUCUGGACGGUUGCUGACGCUGAGACGUGAAAGCGUGGGGCGCAAACAGG
rnacentral:rRNA from 1 species